CUGAACCAGCCAGCCGCGUGAGGGAUGAAGGCCUUCGGGUUGUAAACCUCUUUCGCCAUGGAAGAAAAGGACGGUACUUAACGGGAGUGCCCUGCCCACUCCUUGCCAGCACCUCGGCUAAUAUAUGCCGCGCCGUAAAAAUAA
rnacentral:rRNA from 1 species